UACGAAGGGGGCUAGCGUUGCUCGGAAUCACUGGGCGUAAAGCGCACGUAGGCGGCUUGUUAAGUCAGGGGUGAAAUCCUGGAGCUCAACUCCAGAACUGCCUUUGAUACUGGCGAGCUUGAGUUCGGGAGAGGUGAGUGGAAUUGCGAGUGUAGAGGUGAAAUUCGUAGAUAUUCGCAAGAACACCAGUGGCGAAGGCGGCUCACUGGCCCGGAACUGACGCUGAGACGCGAAAGCGUGGGGAGCAAACAGG
rnacentral:rRNA from 1 species